GAGAACGUGGGCUGGGGGACCCGCAGGGGAGAGAGCAGGCCACCGGGACCUCUGCCAGGAGUAAGUGGGCCAGGGAGACCCCCUGUGGGGGAGGAUGGAUGAGGAACCAAGUCAAGCACAAGAUGGUCCAGGGAAGGGGGGAAUGCAAGGGAAGGGGGGCACCACGAAAGAAAGUGAUCUGAGGAUACAGGGGUAGGCAGGCCCCGGAGACCCCCAGGGUGAGGGAUGAGACCCUCGGAUGUCCUUCCUGUUCAGACGGCCAAGAACCAACUACUUGGCUCCAACUGUCUUCUUACCCAGCAGAGGGACAGGGGGCAGCUGGGGUUUUCUCUUGCUUUUCCUCCCUCCUCCUUUUUGGGCUGGGUACAGCCAGCCAUCCUGAACAGGAUCCUUGACUCUCCUGACUCUCAGCCCCCAGAGGAGGACAGAACUCAGGGGAGCCAGGAGUGCGCUGGCACAGGUCAGCUUGUAACGACAGAGUGAUGAUGUGCAGUUGGAGCCCCGCCCCCAUUCCUGGUCAGAGCCUCAGGCCUCCAGUCCAUGUCAGGAAUGUGGCUAUAGGGCAGCCGGAGCUAGAGGGGUGGGCAGGAGGUGCUGCCGCCUUGUUCUGAGCCCUGCAGCCUCAGCCGGGUGGUCAGGGUCUGGGGGGUGGGGGCCUCUGAGGGCUCCUUCCACCCACCUGUCCCCUGCCCGCUCCCAGCCCAGCCUGCAUGCUCCUCUGGGGGUGCCGGAGCAGAGGGGGCUCUGAUGUGCAGUAGGGAGCCGGCCUGUGUUCCCGUGCUCUGCCCCCUCUUCCUGGGGGAGGCUGGCCACCCAAAGCCCAGAAUUCCAGCCUGGACAGAAAGCCUGGUUCAGGCUGCCUAGCAGCAGCUGCCCUGACAGGCAAGUGCUCACCUGAGGCCUGCAGCCUCUCAAAGUGACCUUUCCCACCCGCAGGCAGCUCCGUGGAGGUGCUCCCAGCUCUUGAGCCAAAACGCAGCCCAGCGUGGCCAGCCACCCAUCCCCAGCAGAUGACCCUGGACCACAGCUCAGCAGUGCCAGCGGCGGGGCCUUAGCUGGAAGGCUCCAGCAUGAGGAGUGAGAGUGGAAAAGAUACUGGGUGAUGAUGAGGAGGGAUAAGCUCCCAUCCCCCAGCCCCUGUGUAGCAGCUCAGUGCCUUCCUACCUGAAUUGCAGCUGUCACCCUCCCCUCUGCAGUCCUCCUCCCCAGACCUGGGGCCGAAGGCUCAGCGAAGCACCAUCCACCAUUAACACCCUAGUGUGAGUUAGUGCAGAUGAAUGGUGCUAGGUCUGCAGGGGGGCCCAGGGCGCUGGCCUGGCACUGCUGAGUGACGGCCGCCCCGCAGCAGUGCUGUGGGGCUCACUGCCCACCUCCACCCCCUCGUGGUCCAGCGAGGCCGGCCCUGUGCUGCAGCCCUCCAAACAAGGACAGCACCCCAGCAUUUAGCUCACCAGGAGUUGGCUUAGUUCCUCACAGGCCCCAGCAGCAGCCCCCUGCACACCCAGGCCCCAGCAGCAGCCCCCUGCACACUCCCCCGCCCCGUGCUGCCUGGGAAGCACUCAGCAUCAGCCCUGCAUGGCCGGCAGCCCCCUGCUCCACAGACAGGCACCCAGAUGGGUGCCAUUCUCCGGAACACCGAGGCGGAAGCCACUCGGUCCCUCCCGAGGAGCUGGCCAGCUGGCGGGAGGGAGGAGCAGGCUGGGAGCUCAGACUUCUGGGGACCUGAGGCCAUUCCACCUGCUCUGCCCUCCCCGUCUACAUGUGUCCACUGCACCUGGAAGUGUCCGCAGACAUGCUUUCCUGUUACCCGAGGCUCUUCCGAGGCUGCGGGCUGACUACAGACUAAAGGACCUGCAUGUCGGUGAACUCCUGCGGAAUUGGACCUUCCGUGACUGGCUUACUUCACCUGGCACGGUGUCCUCCAGGUUCAGCCGUGCUGUAACAGGUGUCAGGAUUCCUUGCUUUGAAAGACUCAGUACUGUUCCAUUCCGUGUAUAACCCACAUCUGAUUUGUCCAUUCAUUGCCAGAGGACUCGAGUUGUUCCCAUCUCUCGGCUGAUGUGAGUAAUGCUGCUAUGAAUGUGGGUGUGCAAAUAUCUGUUCGUGUCCCUGCUUUUACUUCUGUGUGUAUACGCAGAACUGGAAUCAGUGAACCCUGGGGUAGCUGUAUUUCUAACAUGUUGAGAACCCUCCACACUGUUUUCCAGGGUGGCUGCACCGGUUUGCUUUCCCACUAAUGUGCACAAGGGUUCUAGUUUCGCCAUAUCCUCACCAACCUUGUUUUCUGGUUGUGUAUGUGCGCGUUCAUUGUAGCUGUCCUAAUGUGGGGCUCACUGUGGGUUUUGUUUUUUUUUUUAACUUUGAAAUAAAGAUUUUUAUUUUGAUUCAA